GUUUUUAUGUUGCACAGCUCCUCCGACGGGAGCCUCUGCCGCAACGGUGAGAUCAACGUGCAUGGUUGCAGGGUCUAAUACAUUUGGGGUAAAAUAAUUUUGUAAUUAUUUCGGUUUUCUUGUGAAUACAUGUCCCUAAUUUGUUUGUAUGUCCUAAUAACCGCGAUUAAGUUCAGUUUUGUUCGAAGAAGUAUUAUUGACAUUUUUAAUUUGUUUAAGUUCGUUUUUCUGUUUGUUUUGAUCUUGUGCACUGCUGUUUGAAUGAGAAGCGAAUGAGUGGUGGUUUUGUUUGUUUGAAUCAUAAUCAAUAGUAUUUGAAAAUUGUUAUCAGAAUGGGGAAAAGGACGAGGUAAAGGAAAGGGAAACAUGGUUUUUGAGGAUUUGGAAGGAUGUUGCAAUGUAGAGACAAGAAAUGUAAGGUGACAAGCAGGAGAAAUUAAAAGGCAUUGUAAGUAAAAUGGAGGGUCUGUGGGCAUGGAAAAGUGUGGUAUGAAAGUGCAGGGUAUGGUAGAACAGGAGAAGAGGGAACAUGAAUGUUAAAACGCUAGUUAUGAACGAUUCAUUUCAGUGAAAUGGUUUAAUUUUGUUUGUGUAAGGUACCUAAUUUGUUGUGUUAUGUCUUUUGCAGAAACGGUUAAAAGUUCUUGUCUUUGUAUUGAUUGUCUGUGUUUUAGAUUGUGAAUUGUGUUUUUGGUUAAAUAAGGAAAAGCUUAAAUUGUGGGAUUUUGUUGCUUUUAGUACUUCUUCAAAUUCUUUUUGUAGGGCAAAAACAGUCCUUAAGGGUAAGUCAAAACAAUUUGUCUUUAUUUUUUUGAUUAAGAGUGAAUGAUUAGCGGCCAGAAUGCAUGUAAUACAAUAUAUUUUCCAAAGAUUUUACUCCAGGUCCAUCAUUUCGGACAAAGAAAAUUUUAGGGAUUUUUCCCUUUGCUGGCUUUCAUUACUGAUCAACUGACGGUGUUGGAGACGGUGAAGACUGAACAUGACUAAUCCAUUCUAAAUCUCUUUCCAAGCAGAAGAGCAGCCCCCCCGAGAUCUCAUAAAACUUUAGGCAGAAAACCCCCCUCUGCUACGUGGGUGAGUGACAAAGGCGCAUAAGUUUACCAUCCUCCGCAGCUCUCUACCUUCACAGGAGGGAGCCGAGUCAGCAGUGACUGACCCCCAGAGCACAUUUGAAGAAACAGGACAGGAGAGAGGGGGAGGUUGAGCAACUGAAGAAAAACAAUUCUUUACCCUGCUGAAAUGAUUCACACAGGAUAAAAGGUGUUUUAAAAAAGAAAAGGAAACUAACAUGAAUUUUGACUUUUGAUGCCCUCAGAGACAGCAGUAAUGACGUGUCAUGCUCAGCCAUUCGGAGGCCAAAACAGGAGGACGGGUGGAAAAAUCCUGGGAGAAGCAGGCCACCCAGGGGAACCCAGCAGCAGUUGGAAAUGGCAUCUAUGGCGCUCUGAACCCUGACAGCCCACAACGAGGUGCCCAACAGCAGAAUGUACAGACCAAGAGGCAGAGGGUCUGGAGGAAAAAUGAACAGUACCCAUGACCACUCCAAGCCCUCCUCCACCGUGGCGAGGACCACAGGGCAAGUCGGACAACACCACUUGAUGCAGGAGCCAUUGUCUUUUUCAAGCUCAAAGAUGGUGGAACAUUCAUGCGUGCAUUCACCAAACACGCCUGUGAAUCUGUUGGGAUGGGACAGUCUUGUCAAAACAGGAGACAGCAGACUGGAUGCCAUGCCGGACACCACAGCCGACCCCCACUGCAGACAUGUAAAGGGCCCUGAAACGCCAGGUGGUUUCGUUAAUUUCAGGUUUGAAGCCUGGACUCCUGUGUUUGAAGCCUCCGAAUGGUCUGACCUGUACACUCCAUUAUGACAGAGAGCAUGAUUAACAGUAAGAAGUAUUUCAGCAGGUAGAAGACCACACGUGGCAUUUGAACUACACUGACAUAUAUUAACCCUGAGGGCGAGCGGCUUAUUGUGCAUUCAUACACUCACAAAUGCAAUGAUACUAGCUGUCAGACACAGCUGUAUCUCACAUAGGAUUAGACUAAGCAGGACAUUAACAACACAUUGGUUAAAUUGUGUUUUUUCAGGUGUUCACUCUCCUCCCUCAAUAAAAAUGUACAGGUUAAUUUUGCCGUUCAACAACCGAGCAGAGAGGAGACGGCUCAUGAAGAUGCAGAGGUGAUGUUAAAACGCUCUCUGAUGCUUCAUGGUCCACAGGUUCAGUUGAUGUUGGUUCAUUCUUCAUCGUCCCCCCGGUGGUGAUUCAGGUAACUGCAGGAGCACAGGUUUUUAGAUCUCAGUGCAGCUGAGUGACUGAUGCAGAUGAAGGGAGGAAGGAAACUCAGUCUGGGCUGUAGAACUAUAGUGUCAUUGAAUAUUCGUAUUCUUCAUGGUGUACUUCUUUGAAACCGGUUUUAAAAGUAGAUGGAUUGCAUAUGAUUUAAGCUAAUGUUAAUUUGAGUUGAUGACGUCACCAUUAUUAUAAAACCUAUCCGUCCCUGAUCCAUAUUGCAUGCUGUCACCUUUAACCUCACAAGGUGUGUUGUUUGUUGCUAUUGACUUAGCACACGUUUUCUUUUAAUGGAAUCAUUACAUAAAAAUAGCAGACCAUUGUUCGCAUUAUAGUACAGAGGGGUUCAUAAAAUCCUUCUUGCAUUUUUGAUCACUGUUUAAAGUCUCUCUGACAGAACAUUAUGCUAUAAGAGGUUUGUGUUUUGCUAAUACAGGUUGAUGACAUCUGCCUGCAAUUAAUGAAAGAUCUUCUGUUGCAGUUGUAUUAUUUCUUCUUGUGACCUUGCCUUUUACAGGAACGUGGACAGGACGCCUCUUCACCUUAUCGGUGCACCAAACUGUUUAUUGUUUUUAUGUUCUUGCUUUACAUUUAAUUCGUUUUAUGUGUUUGUCCUGGAGCUUAGCCCCAGGCCAAGAGAGGGAGGUAGACAAAAGAGGUCUUAAUGAU